AGAAAGGGCCUUGCAUCCCUCGUCAUGUUGGUCUCUUGGGAGAUUUGGAACAAGCGAAACGCCCAGGUGUUUAGAAAUGUGUCAUCCUUGCCAACUGUAAUCACAUCUAAGAUUAAGACCAAUGCUGGGUUAUUGGGGUUGGCGGGGGCUGUCAGUGUCAAAACCGGCGGAUCUCGGGUAGGGGGUCCCGAACUGUGCGUCUAA
rnacentral:rRNA from 1 species